CUGCAGUCUGCAACUCGGACUGCACGAAGCUGGAAUCGCUAGUAAUCGCGGAUCAGCACGCCGCGGUGAAUACGUUCCCGGGCCUUGUACACACCGCCCGUCACACCAUGGAAGUCUGCAAUGCCCGAAGCCGGUGGCCUAACCACUUAUGUGGAAGGAGCCGUCUAAGGCAGGGCAGAUGACUGGGGUGAAGUCGUAACAAGGUAAC
rnacentral:rRNA from 1 species